UUAUAUGCUUGUCUCAAAGACUAAGCCAUGCAUGUCUAAGUACAGACCGUUGGAAACAGGUGAAACCGCGAAUGGCUCAUUAAAUCAGCGAUGGUUCGAUGGAGAUCGAGGAGACAGAGAAGGCGCCCGCCACGGGCGUCGGAAUUCCAAUUGUAAUUGGAUAACCGUGGCAAUUCUAGAGCUAAUACAUGCAACUCAUGCUCGACAGUUCCCCAGCUUCGUGCACGGGGCAGAGCGCUUUUAUUAGACCGCCGUCGGGCCGUCUCCGCCGUCCGCGGCGAGACGCCCGCUCUUGGUGGUGAAUCUGGAUAAACGAUCCGACUAGGUGAAGCCGAUCGGGCUGGCCGCGGCCCUAGAGCGCGCGGCCGACCGACGGGGCUUUCAAGUGUCUGCCUUAUCAACUUUAGACGGCAAGUCAUUUGCCUACCGUGGUUGUCACGGGUGACGGGGAAUCAGGGUUCGAUUCCGGAGAGGGAGCCUGAGAAACGGCUACCACAUCCAAGGAAGGCAGCAGGCUCGCAAAUUACCCAAUUGUGGAACGCAGAGGUAGUGACGAAAAAUGACGAUCCGGGACUCGGUCGAGCUUCCCGGGAUCGGAUUGAGCGCAGCUCAAACAAAUGUGGCGAGUGCCACCGGAGAGCAAGUCUGGUGCCAGCAGUCGCGGUAAUUCCAGCUCCGGCAGCAUAUGCUAAAGUUGCUGCGGUUAAAAAGCUCGUGGUUGGAUCUCAGGCUUUGGCCGUCGGGACCCGCUCAGGGGCGGGCCUCCGGCGCGCCGGUCAUAGAGGCAGGCGGCCCGCGGACGAUCUUCACCGGUCGUCCGUACGGUGCCGUCGGCAGGUUUACCUUGAACAAAGGGGAGUGCUCAAGGCAGGGCGUUACCGGCCCGAACGUUCCGUGCAUGGAAUAAUGGAAGAAGGCCCCGUCUCUCGCGGGUGUGACCUUCGUCGUUCCCGUUCACCGGCGCGUGGAUCUCUCUCUCUCUCUCUCGCACGUCUCGAAACGGCGGUGUCUCGCGCGGCAGGAUGGAGGCCUCGUGCCUCCGCUCGACUGCCGUUCAACGAGCUCCGUGGAUACGGUUCGGUUCGCGUCGAGGAGAGGAGGUGCAGUCUGCGYCGUCGCGUGUGCCGGGUACCGCGGCGACAGGUGCGACCCGGUCCGAGAGGCCACGCGGGGCAAUGAUUAAGGGGGACGGCCCGGGGACGAUCGUACCGCUCGGCUAGAGGUGAAAUUCUUGGACCCGAGCGAGACGUCCGGCAGCGAAAGCGUUCGUCAAGAGCGUUUCCGUUAAUCUAGAACGAAAGUCAGAGGUUCGAAGGCGAUCAGAUACCGCCCUAGUUCUGACCGUAAACGAUGCCAACCAGCGAUCUCGAUGCGAGCUUAUUGAUAACGCCGCUCGAGGAAGCUUCGUCCGGGAAACCAGAGUUUCUGGGUUCCGGGGGAAGUAUGGUUGCAAAACUGAAACUUAAAGGAAUUGACGGAAGGGCACCACCAGGAGUGGAGCCUGCGGCUUAAUUUGACUCAACACGGGGAAGCUUACCCGGCCCGGACACUGGAAGGAUUGACAGAAUGACGGCUCUUUCUUGAUUCUGUGGAUGGUGGUGCAUGGCCGUUCUUAGUUCGUGGAGUGAUCUGUCUGGUUGAUUCCGAUAACGAACGAGACUCUAGCCUACUAACUAGCCGUCGUCGCAGCGGAGGGUGUACGAGUUACUCCUCCCGACGACGCGAUCUCUUCUUAGAGGGACUGGCCAAGCUUGAAUGAGAAUUGGCACGAGGUGAGAGCGAUAACAGGUCUGUGAUGCCCUCAGAUGUCCGGGGCCGCACGCGCGCUACACUGACGCUCGCAGUGUGCGCACCACAGACUCCUGGCCCGGAGGGGCCGGGGAACCCCAUCAACGAGAUGAAGCUCGUCGUGAUGGGGACAGGGACUUGGAAUUUUCUCCCUCGAACGAGGAAUUCCUGGUAGUGGCGGGUCAUCAGCCCGCCGCGAAUAAGUCCCUGCCCUUUGUCCACACCGCCCGUCGCUACUACCGAUCGAACGGUUCGGUGAGGUCCUCGGACCGGUGUCGGUAGCGUGGUCUGAACCCUCUCGGGGGUUCGCACGAUGCCUUCUUGCCGGAAAGUCGAUCGAACCGUCUCGUUUAGAGGAAGUAAAAGUCGUAACAAGGUUUCC
rnacentral:rRNA from 1 species